rnacentral:rRNA from 1 species
GACCAGACUCCUACGGGAGGCAGCAGUGAGGGAUAUUGGGCAAUGGGGGAAACCCUGACCCAGCGACGCCGCGUGAGGGAAGACGGUCUUCGGAUUGUAAACCUCUGUCUUUGGGGACGAAAAAGGACGGUACCCAAGGAGGAAGCUCCGGCUAACUACGUGCCAGCAGCCGCGGUAAUACGUAGGGAGCGAGCGUUGUCCGGAAUUACUGGGUGUAAAGGGAGCGUAGGCGGGGAUGCAAGUUGGGUGUCAAAACUACCGGCUCAACUGGUAGUCGCUCUCAAAACUGCAGCUCUUGAGUGAAGUAGAGGCAGGCGGAAUUCCUAGUGUAGCGGUGAAAUGCGUAGAUAUUAGGAGGAACACCAGUGGCGAAGGCGGCCUGCUGGACGAUAACUGACGUUGAGGCUCGAAAGCGUGGGGAGCAAACAGGAUUAGAUACCCCCGUAUA